GUGGAAAAACACCUUUGUUCAAUACUGCUCUUUCCUGCAUCCUUGACAGAUAUAUGAGUAAAACUUCAGAUACUCUCUUUGGACGCGGUUCCAGGCCACCACCCACUGUCCGCUGGAGAUGACCCAGGAGUUGAACCCUGUUUGCCCUUUGUUGUCCGCGUAAAGCUGUAUAGGUUGAGAACAGGACGGAGUAGCAAAGAAAGCAUUUCGGUGCAUGGAAAAUGGAGGUUGAGAUCACUGCACUCAAAUCAAGAUAUUUGUGGUCUUACUGCGGUUCAGUCAUUCCCUGGAUAUAUGCACUACCCUCUCUAAUUCCUCAUGUUCCUCAGCUGUAUGAAGUC
rnacentral:lncRNA from 1 species